AGUCUGUGACGCUCAACCUCAGCGAUGAGAGCGUCCCGCUGGUGCUUGGACAUCCGACCAAACUUCACAGCUGAAGGGGACCGUAAACAUUUAGGCCAAGCACUUUUGCAGACGGCAGUGCUGACAGCGAUUGCGGCUGGACCGGUCGAUGGUACAGUUACUCUGCCUGGAACAGGAGUAGGACACCGUGGGCAGCUGGCUACGUCGGAAAAAUCCCUGAGGCAUGAAGAGUUUGGCCACAGACGAAGAGGGAUUAUUAGCAUCGUUUCCUCAAAUCUGAAUUGUAAGGGUCGCGGGCGCGCUGGAACCUAUCCCAGCUGUCUUCGGAGACACACCGAACCGGGUGCCAGCCCAUCGCAAGGCACACAUAUACAAACAAUCAUUCAAGCUCACACUCACAACCAGGGACAAUUUAGGGUGUUCCAUUAACAUGCCACAUAUGUGUUAGGAAACCGGAGUACCCGGAGAAAACCCACUCAGGCACGGGGAGAACAUGCAAAACUCCAUACAGGAAGGCCGGACCCGAAAUCAAACCCGUCACCUCUGCACCGU